AACAGUGUGUGUUUGUGAGUUCAGCAUCAAGCUGAGUGUGUUUGUGGAACAUGAAUGUGUUGGAGUGUUUGUGCAUCAUGUGACCCAGAUUCUCUUCAUCUGCUGUCAGAUUCAAAUCAGGAAGAUGAAACCACACAGCAGCUUCAGCUGAGCUGUCCGUCUGCAGCAGCAGUCUUCUCUGUGAGCUGCAGGGGCUGAUGGGAGCUUGGAGGAGGAGUCCCAAAGAACGUGGUCCUGCUCUCAUCUCACAGCUCUCAGGUCCUUCUUUGUCCUCAGCUGCAUCAGAACACCACUUCUCCUCAGGUUGAGCAGAGGAAACACGGCUGAACAAAAUGCUUUUCCUCCCAGCUGCUGCUCUGUGCUGUCUGUGUUCAGCACUGGUUGCCAUGGCAGCAGAGCUGAUUCAGGAGGAUUUAACAUUGACCAGGAAAGUUGGUGAAAGUGUCUCUUUCAGCUGUGGAGGAAUUCGGGAGUGUAGUAGCAGCUUCAGAUACUGGUUCCAGAAGAAAGAAACAGAAACAUUCAGACUGAUUCUUUGGUUUCGUGAAAGUGAUGGUGAAAUAUAUAAAGGUUACGGUCAUCCUCAGAAAGAUGAUUUCACAGCUGAAAAAACCCAGAGUGGAUGUGAAUUGAAGAUCAAUAAAGUCAAAGUGGAUCAUUCAGCCUCCUA